rnacentral:rRNA from 1 species
AACGAACGCUGGCGGCAGGCUUAACACAUGCAAGUCGAGCGCCCCGCAAGGGGAGCGGCAGACGGGUGAGUAACGCGUGGGAAUCUACCCAUCUCUACGGAAUAACGCAUGGAAACGUGUGCUAAUACCGUAUACGUCCUUCGGGAGAAAGAUUUAUCGGAGAUGGAUGAGCCCGCGUUGGAUUAGCUAGUUGGUGGGGUAAAGGCCUACCAAGGCGACGAUCCAUAGCUGGUCUGAGAGGAUGAUCAGCCACACUGGGACUGAGACACGGCCCAGACUCCUACGGGAGGCAGCAGUGGGGAAUAUUGGACAAUGGGCGCAAGCCUGAUCCAGCCAUGCCGCGUGAGUGAUGAAGGCCCUAGGGUUGUAAAGCUCUUUCACCGGUGAAGAUAAUGACGGUAACCGGAGAAUAAGCACCGGCUAACUCUGUGCCAGCCGCCGCAGUAACAC